GCUUAGAUAGUUUAAUGAAAACAUUGGUCUUGUAAACCAAAAAUAAAAAUUUUUUUCUAAACA
rnacentral:tRNA from 1 species